GAUGAACGCUAGCGACAGGCCUAACACAUGCAAGUCGAGGGGCAGCAUAAAGGUAGCAAUACUUUGGUGGCGACCGGCGCACGGGUGAGUAACACGUAUGCAACCUACCUGUAAGAGGGGAAUAACCCGGAGAAAUUCGGACUAACACCGCAUAAUACCUCGAAGCUGCAUGGCUUUGAGGUUAAAUAUUUAUAGCUUACAGAUGGGCAUGCGUAACAUUAGAUAGUUGGUGAGGUAACGGCUCACCAAGUCAACGAUGUUUAGGGGUUCUGAGAGGAAGGUCCCCCACACUGGUACUGAGCCACCGACCAGACUCGUACGGGAGGCAGCAGUGAGGAAUAUUGGUCAAUGGGCGAGAGCCUGAACCAGCCAAGUCGCGUGAAGGAAGAAGGUUCUAUGGAUUGUAAACUUCUUUUGUAAGGGAAUAAAAAAGCUUACGUGUAGGCUAUCGUAUGUACUUUACGAAUAAGGAUCGGCUAACUCCGUGCCAGCAGCCGCCGCCGUAA
rnacentral:rRNA from 1 species